GAUGAAUGCUGGCGGCGUGCCUAACACAUGCAAGUCGAGCGGCAGCGAGGGGUGCUUGCACCCUGUCGGCGAGCGGCGAACGGCUGAGUAACGCGUAGGAAUUUGCCCCAAAGUGAGGAAUAACUGCCCGAAAGGGUAGCUAAUGCCGCAUAUGGUCUUCGGAUUAAAGGAUUUAUCCGCUUUGGGAGAAGCCUGCGUUGGAUUAGGUUGUUGGUAGGGUAAUGGCCUACCAAGCCGACGAUCCAUAGCUGGUCUGAGAGGAUGAUCAGCCAGACUGGAACUGAGACACGGUCCAGACUCCUACGGGAAGCAGCAGUGAGGAAUCUUCCACAAUGGGCGAAAGCCUGAUGGAGCAACGCCGCGUGAAGGAUGAAGGCCUUCGGGUUGUAAACUUCUUUUAUGAGUGAAGAAUAUGACGGUAACUCAUGAAUAAGCACCGGCUAACUACGUU
rnacentral:rRNA from 1 species